CUGUAGAGAAUGGAAGCUUCCUGUCAUUAUGUGAGCAUUAGCUCAGCCCAUAAAGGAAGGAGGAAGUGAGAUGGAAAUUCAAGAUUGCUCACCUUGGUUCUACUUGAUUUAAGAGGAGAGAAGGGCCUCUCCAUCAGACUUUCAAGAUUGCUUGAAUAUAACUGAAAUUUAUUAAAGAAUAAAGAAGAGUUCCAGCAGGUCUUGUGGUGUCUGUUUCCUGACCUGGACUGCCAUGCUGGGCUGACACCAUCCUAUUGUGCAAUUAUUAACUAGUGGCAUAAGAAGCAUUAUGCAACAUGCACAAAAAGAAUAAGAAGUAGAAAGCCAAUGAAAUUAAAGGCAGGAGACAGGAGAGAAGGAAAGGAAGUCUACCGUAGUUUAUAACCAACUCCAUUGAUUGUUCUUCCCAUCUCUCUCAAUCCUUGUAAACCAUCUAUACACCAUUCCAAUCACUGCCUUUUCUUCCUUGAACUUCUCCUUCUCUUUAACCCAUCAACUUCAUCAACCACAAUGUUCUUAAUCUUCCCCUUCUUUUCUACCAUUCAUCUUCCCUCCAUAUAUUUAUUCUGUUAAGUGAUAUUCAUUCUUUCUAUCUUACCGAGUCACCACAAUGUUUUUUCUUCUGGCCAGUGCUGAAUGCAGACCUCCUUCAUUCAAGGCUUCUUUCAUUCAGGACCUGUUUAUUUUGAUGUUAUGUUUCCUUCUUUUACCAUUGAUCAGUGUUUCACAAUCCAGAAACUUUAAGAUGUGUGGCUGGCUAGGGAAUUCUGGGAAUUGGAAAUCCACACAUCUUAAAAUUCCUGAGGUUGAGAAACGCAGCCAUACACAUUUCCUAAACAUCUCAUUCCCAAAGUUCUCAAUUUAUUUUUAGGUUUUUUCUUAUCAUAUCAAAUGUUACUUUCAUGGAAGACAAUGGACAGAAGAAGGUUUUUACUGACGUGUAAUCCCCUGCAGCAGGGUAUCAAGGCAUUCACUGAAUAGUCACCCAUACAAAUGGUUGUAAAUUGAGAAUGAUCUGUAUUUCUUUUAGUUUGAUGCCAUCCUUAGCUUGUUUCAUCCAUGCCUAGCAAACUUAGCAAGGUGCUUCUUCUUUUCUCUAUUGAAACAAAAUAUUCCUUCUCUAGAAUCAUAAAUGUCUUUUAAGUUCACAAUGAUCAAUGACUUUUUGUGCUUCACUGUAUAUUUUAUCCAGUUGGGGAUCAAACAUUUCAUUGGCCCACUAAAUCAAUGAUUGAUGAAGAUCCCUUUGGGACAUUUUAUGGUUCUUCGUUGCUUUUCUUUUCUGUAGCCAUUCUUUUUCACAGUACAUUUCAGAAUAGCAAGAUGCUUUGUGUGGAGAUAAAAUUAUUGACUUGUUCACUGCUUUUCUAUUCGGUAUAUUUCAUUGUGACUUAGUUAACGCAGGCCCAAUGGUAAGUUCUACAAAAUGAAAACCAGUGCUUGGGUUUCUUUUUUUUAGUUUAUUCAGUCAGAAAGGCCAUGCGGGUGGCUGCUAGGAAUAUAAAAAAUCAAGAUGGCAGUUCUGGCUAUAUGAUCAAAGCCAGUAAUAAUGUUUACCUAAUAUUUACCUCUUAAAAAUAAAAGUUGGGUUUAUUAUCGAAGUUAUGGCUAUCAUCUUUUCAAUGCCACUUUGCUCAUCCCCCUCUCUGUAAAAAUUCCUGAUAGCUUCGUUAUAGCUUAUUUUUUUCCCUUUAAUUUCCUUUAACUGCCAGAAGUCCUAUUAACUGGGAGAUUUGCAAACAUAAUAAAACAAAUAAACAUAUUACCUUUACAAAUAAUGUUAAUAAAUUAGGAAUAUAUUCAAUCCUGACCUCCAGAUAUAAUCUCCAGACUUACCUGACUCCAGAAGAGAUAUUUCAUAGGGUAUAACAUGGUCUUGUUACUG